ensembl:lncRNA
UUUUGCUUGGAGAAAAGUGGUGGAGGGGGUUAAACAUGUGCUCACUCUCUGAGUCUGGAGUUCCACCGUUACCAGCCCUAACAGUCAUUUCUGGUGUUGAUUUUAAGGAAUAGCUGGAUGUCCCAGCCUGAGGAGCGAGUGAAGCUUCUGAGUUCUCUGCUCGGCCAAAGCCACACGAGCCCGAGCCUGCUCUGGGGCGCAUUGCUCCUAAGGGAGGCUCCCAGAGGGAGAAGUCCAUUGUCUGAGGACAAGUAAUUUUGGGAAAUGCCUUUGUAAGCCUGCUAGUAGCAGAGUAAAGGCACUGGGAGAAUUCCUACAGUAAAGAAUCUCACUUGAAUACAUCCCUAUCCAAAGAAUCCAUUCUUGAAGAAGAAAUACUUGCUAAGAUCUCAUGGAACGGACUUUGAGAAACACUGCAGCAAGCAUGCUGUGUGGAUUUCUGUGUUGUAUGUUACUUUUCGAUGGGGCAGUGUAGACCAUGUAGGAGAAAGGGGUUUUCUAGUGUGUGGGUGACAUGGUCCAUCAUCUGAGACCACUUGUGAAGAUACACUCAGCCAGAUAACCCUACUUCUAACGGGUGUUAGAAUAUUGUCAGUGCUCUCUCAGCAACCUUGUAGGUCAAGACUGUGCUGGGAUAAAGUACUCUUAAAUAUCACAAGGGGUAUGUUAGAAUAUAUUCUGUCAUUGGGGUUCAAGCACGUAAAAUUAAAAUAGAUAUAGCAAUUAAUCGCAGAGGGGUAGAUCCUGGGCUAAGUGUACAAUGUUGUCCAAUGGGUUGAGGGCAGAGCUGUAGAACUAGGAAAGCCGGAGUUGGAGCGGAGCCUUUGGAACCCGAGGAGGGGAAUGGAUGCUGCCGCAGAUGUAAAUGCUGGAGAUCGGGUGUGCACACAUCCAUCCACAGAGCAUUCCGCCCAUGCACGCCCAGCGUUCACUCUCCCUUUCCUUUAUUGGAGGGCCCUUUGCAAAGCUAAUGCGAUUGCCCGUGAAAACGGUUCCAUACAUUCCGGUGACAUUCUUAUUUAUAUAAUAAGAGAAAAAGAGAGUGUUGAGGGCUGGCUGGCAGGGCUGCAAGCUAAGUUCAGGAAUAAGGCCCUCGGUUGAUAGGUUAAUUCCUCCACUGGCUGAAGAGGCUGCCUUCUCGGGCGUGUCGGGAAGAGCGGGAUUUAUCAGCCCGGCACUGCUGUGGCUGGGAAUGCAGGUGAAUAACCGCGUGGUAAGUGCUGUGUGAGGGGGACACGCUUCUGUUCAAAGUUGGCAGGCGGAGGGGUGCCAAGGGCGGCUCAAGGCCUAGGAGCCGGGGCAGAGAAACGAGCACCCAGCCUGUGUGUUCAGACGUUUCCUGCUUGGGGACCCUGUGGCAGGCACCUGGGAGGCUGCCACGGAGUCCUGGGGAAGCCCGGCCAACAUCACUGGCCGCACAUUUUGGAGCCUGCUUCCGAGGGGUUCGGCUGUUAACUGCUGAAGGUUUUGCACCGGCGAUGGCUGGUGACGGUGGUUUACAUGCCAAGCGUGUGCCCGCUUAGCAACAGCGCACAAUUAACCUUCAUGUCC